UACGUAGGGGGCUAGCGUUGUCCGGAAUCAUUGGGCGUAAAGAGCGUUGUAGGCGGCCCCGGUAAGUCCGCUGUGAAAGUCGGGGGGUCAACCCUCGAAUGCCGGUGGAUACUGUCGGGCUAGAGUGCGGAAGAGGCGAGUGGAAUUCCUGGUGUAGCGGUGAAAUGCGCAGAUAUCAGGAGGAACACCGAUUGCGAAGGCAGCUCGCUGGG
rnacentral:rRNA from 1 species